GAUGAACGCUGGCGGCGUGCCUAAUACAUGCAAGUCGAGCGAACGGACGAGAAGCUUGCUUCUCUGAUGUUAGCGGCGGACGGGUGAGUAACGCGUGGAUAACCUACCUAUAAGACUGGGAUAACUUCGGGAAACCGGAGCUAAUACCGGAUAAUAUUUUGAACCGCAUGGUUCAAAAGUGAAAGACGGUCUUGCUGUCACUUAUAGAUGGAUCCGCGCUGCAUUAGCUAGUUGGUAAGGUAACGGCUUACCAAGGCAACGAUGCAUAGCCGACCUGAGAGGGUGAUCGGCCACACUGGAACUGAGACACGGUCCAGACUCCUACGGGAGGCAGCAGUAGGGAAUCUUCCGCAAUGGGCGAAAGCCUGACGGAGCAACGCCGCGUGAGUGAUGAAGGUCUUCGGAUCGUAAAACUCUGUUAUUAGGGAAGAACAUAUGUGUAAGUAACUGUGCACAUCUUGACGGUACCUAAUCAGAAAGCCACGGCUAACUACGUGCCAGCAGCCGCGGUAAUACGUAGGUGGCAAGCGUUAUCCGGAAUUAUUGGGCGUAAAGCGCGCGUAGGCGGUUUUUUAAGUCUGAUGUGAAAGCCCACGGCUCAACCGUGGAGGGUCAUUGGAAACUGGAAAACUUGAGUGCAGAAGAGGAAAGUGGAAUUCCAUGUGUAGCGGUGAAAUGCGCAGAGAUAUGGAGGAACACCAGUGGCGAAGGCGACUUUCUGGUCUGUAACUGACGCUGAUGUGCGAAAGCGUGGGGAUCAAACAGGAUUAGAUACCCUGGUAGUCCACGCCGUAAACGAUGAGUGCUAAGUGUUAGGGGGUUUCCGCCCCUUAGUGCUGCAGCUAACGCAUUAAGCACUCCGCCUGGGGAGUACGACCGCAAGGUUGAAACUCAAAGGAAUUGACGGGGACCCGCACAAGCGGUGGAGCAUGUGGUUUAAUUCGAAGCAACGCGAAGAACCUUACCAAAUCUUGACAUCCUUUGACAACUCUAGAGAUAGAGCUUUCCCCUUCGGGGGACAAAGUGACAGGUGGUGCAUGGUUGUCGUCAGCUCGUGUCGUGAGAUGUUGGGUUAAGUCCCGCAACGAGCGCAACCCUUAAGCUUAGUUGCCAUCAUUAAGUUGGGCACUCUAAGUUGACUGCCGGUGACAAACCGGAGGAAGGUGGGGAUGACGUCAAAUCAUCAUGCCCCUUAUGAUUUGGGCUACACACGUGCUACAAUGGACAAUACAAAGGGCAGCGAAACCGCGAGGUCAAGCAAAUCCCAUAAAGUUGUUCUCAGUUCGGAUUGUAGUCUGCAACUCGACUACAUGAAGCUGGAAUCGCUAGUAAUCGUAGAUCAGCAUGCUACGGUGAAUCCGUUUCCGGGUGU
rnacentral:rRNA from 1 species